AGCAGUGGGGAAUAUUGCACAAUGGGCGCAAGCCUGAUGCAGCCAUGCCGCGUGUAUGAAGAAGGCCUUCGGGUUGUAAAGUACUUUCAGCGGGGAGGAAGGGAUGGUGCUUAAUACGCACCGUCAUUGACGUUACCCGCAGAAGAAGCACCGGCUAACUCCGUGCCAGCAGCCGCGGUAAUACGGAGGGUGCAAGCGUUAAUCGGAAUUACUGGGCGUAAAGCGCACGCAGGCGGUCUGUCAAGUCGGAUGUGAAAUCCCCGGGCUCAACCCGGGAACUGCAUUCGAAACUGGCAGGCUAGAGUCUCGUAGAGGGGGGUAGAAUUCCAGGUGUAGCGGUGAAAUGCGUAGAGAUCUGGAGGAAUACCGGUGGCGAAGGCGGCCCCCUGGACGAAGACUGACGCU
rnacentral:rRNA from 1 species